CCCCGGUCCCUCCCAGUCCCUCCCGGUCCCUCCCGGUUCCUCCCGGCCCGCCGUGCCCGCGGGGCUUCCCGGGGCCUCCCCAGCUCGGGGCCACGCCGCCGCGUCCGCCAUGACCCGCCCGCGAUGAAUGCGUGCGGUCAGCAAGCGGGCCGGUCGGUGGGGGAUGCUGGUGGAGCCCUGCACAGCACCCUUACGCGCGGGGCAGCGUCGUGGGAUGUUGUCCAUUCUGCGUAUCGGAGGGGAGUGAGAGCUGCCAGGCUGUCGGGUCUGCCAAACGGCCUCAGUUCAUGGACACGGCUGGCCUGAUCACUGCUGAAAUGAAAUAAUUUCAAAUUUUAUGUGGCCUCUUCCUUGUCAAAAUCCCAGUGAAUGUGGUUAUGUGAUGCCAUCAGAAUGACUCAUUGCCGUAAUUACAUAUGUUCUAAGGGGUUAUUCCCAUUGUAUUAUUAAAAACUAGUGAUGUUUGAUUUUUGGCAGGGACUGUCUUCCUUGUACGAUCUACAGAUUUUGUCAAUUAAAUGAAGGAAAAAUAGAUUUCCAAGAUUUCAGAACAAGACCGGACUUGUACUCAGAGCACUUUUUCAGUGUGGUAUUGAGCUACUUUGUUUUAUUUAAUAGGAUAAAAGCCACAUCAGCCAUCUUUCUCUCCUUGUUGCAGCGGUUCCCUGCAGGGCACAAGGACAGAAAUGGGUUUCGUAGCUAGCCUUCAAAAUCAGUUCCAAGCACUGCCAGAAGAUACUGCGGAUGGUUUAUCACGACAGUAGUUUUCCCAACUCAGUUCCUCAGGAAUAGGUUUUCAGGGAUACAGCUUACAAGAGUGGGAGGCAGGGCUCCUCGGAAAAGGCUCCAGGUUUGACGGCUCCUUAAGAGAAAAACCAGCAGCGAUCCCGAUCCCAGAUAUCGAGGCCUUGGACUCAAAGUUCCCAAAAUGGCCACUGAAAGCACUAGGGGGAAGCCAGGGGGAGGAGAAAGUUGAAGGCUAUCAAAAAAGGCAAAAAGGUGAAAAGGGCUUUGAGAGCGCAGGCUGCGCUGUGCCCAGCAGGAUGGAGCCUUCAGAGCUAGCGGCGUGCUCGGUCCCGCGCAGUUCUCGCAGGCGUGCAGAGCCCUCUGCUUUACACUUUGAAGUUACGCCAGCGCUGCAGAUCUCUCUCGUUGGAAUUAAGUGUUUACUAGCAAUCUGGAAGCUAAAGCAUUUACAUAGAAAUGUUUUACUUUUGUGAUUUCAUUUUGAUAGUCAUGAGAAGUGACUGCUUUUCUGGAAAGCUGCACGUGCUGCACCGUGUGUGUUAGCCUUGCGCGUCGCAGGAUUUGCCGUGGCCUUUUGCAGGCUGUUUCAGUGGUGAAUGAUGAGGUUCUAACCAGGCGUUUUAGCUUGUGCUGUAAGUAACAACAUGUUUUCUACCUGCUGCUAACAGAUCCUGCUGCUCUUCAAAUAUCGUGGAGAUUCUGGCAAGCAGCUCCAUCUAAACUAUGGUUUGGCAUUCAGUUGGGUGUAAUAUAUUAUCGUGUAUAAAUGCCAUUGGCGUGAUUUAUUUAUGGCGACUGGUUAAAUGCAGCUGGUAUUUCUGUGACUUUAAUAGAGUUUUUU